rnacentral:rRNA from 1 species
AUGCGGAAGUGCACCAGGACAGCGGGGACCACCGGCAGGGGACGGCGGCUACCGGGGCUGUCGCAGGUACUCGGGCAGGAGAUGGAGAAGACGCAGCGCUGCGAUCUCUGGCGUGAAGGCGAAUCAGAGGAGGGCAGCAGCGGUGCGCUUGAGGCCGAACGGAGGGAGGAAGAGGUGCAGGCGCGAGGUGGCCCUCGGCUGCCAUGGACGGAGGUGAGGUCGGGGCAGAGGAACGCGGUGCAACUCGACUGCGGCAAUGUGGCAGCGGGAUCCGGGCAGCAAAGGAGAGACCGAGCCAGCGGCUGGGUGCUUCCUGGCGGCGCCAUGGCGGGGAGGCGAUGGUGCUGCAACAGGGCGCGGAGGACGACGGCUGCAGGCGCAGGUGCUCGAGGAGCUUCUCUCCUCGAGCGCUCGGGCGACGGGGACGAGGUGUAG